UGGGGAAUAUUGGACAAUGGGCGAAAGCCUGAUCCAGCCAUGCCGCGUGUGUGAAGAAGGUCUUCGGAUGGUAAAGCACUUUAAGGCGGGAGGAAGGGCAGUAAGCGAAUACCUUGCUGUUUUGACGUUACCGACAGAAUAAGCACCGGCUAACUCUGUGCCAGCAGCCGCGGUAAUACAGAGGGUGCAAGCGUUAAUCGGAAUUACUGGGCGUAAAGCGCGCGUAGGUGGUUCGUUAAGUUGAAUGUGAAAACCCCGGGCUCAACCUGGGAACUGCAUCCCAAACUGGCGAGCUAGAGUAGGGCAGAGGGUGGUGGAAUUUCCUGUGUAGCGGUGAAAUGCGUAGAUAUAGGCUGGAACACCUGUGGCGAAGGCGACCACCUGCGCUCAUACUGACACUGAGGUGCGAACGCGUGGGGAGCAAACAGG
rnacentral:rRNA from 1 species